GUGGGAGGGGGCUUGCCCCCGAUAGCAGUGGCUCAGUCAAUGAAUCUGUCGACUGAUACACCGCAUCGGGGGCAAGCCCCCUCCCAC
rnacentral:misc_RNA from 1 species